rnacentral:rRNA from 1 species
CCUACGGGAGGCUGCAGUGGGGAAUAUUGCACAAUGGGGGAAACCCUGAUGCAGCGACGCCGCGUGAGUGAAGAAGUAUUUCGGUAUGUAAAGCUCUAUCAGCAGGGAAGAAAAUGACGGUACCUGAUUAAGAAGCCCCGGCUAACUACGUGCCAGCAGCCGCGGGAAUACGUAGGGGGCAAGCGUUAUCCGGAUUUACUGGGGGUAAAGGGAGCGGAGACGGCAGCACAAGUCUGGAGUGAAAUGCCGGUGCUUAACCCCGGAACAGCUUUGGAAACUGUGCAGCUAGAGUGCAGGAGAGGUAAGUGGAAGUCCUAGUGAAGCGGUGAAAUGCGUAGAUAUUAGGAGGAACACCAGUGGCGAAGGCGGCUUACUGGACUGUAACUGACGUUGAGGCUCGAAAGCGUGGGGAGCAAACAGGAUUAGAUACCCUUGUAGUC